AAAACAUCCGUAUUCUUUUGUAGGAAAUUAAUGAGCUGUGUCCGUACCUCUUCUCCUAGGUUAGAGCCGAUCUUCACCACAUGCUCCUCAUUCCCAUCGUUCAAAGGAAUUGAGACAAGAUCUUCAAUUGGCUCACCCCAUUCUUCAGCAAGGUCAUCGUGAGUGUCCAAUCCAUCAAUCGGACAGGGGUCGGACUGUCCCUU
rnacentral:lncRNA from 1 species